rnacentral:lncRNA from 1 species
AUGUGUGGAAAAUCAAAGAAUGAAAGCUUGGUGCUAUAACCAACAGCAGGGAAAGAAAGUGAAAUGCAACUUGAGAAUAUUUUAAAAGGCCUAGGCCAGGGGUGCCCAAUUUCAGAUCGAGUCCAAAAGCAUUGCGAGUCAGGGAAGGCAAAGUGAUAUCGGGGACGAGCAGACGGUGGAGGCGACGGUCUUAGGGCGGCGAGUCCCCGGCCAACUCCGGCGAGCAGAAGCCCCUCCUGGCCAAUCUAAGUAGGGAUUGGGCUUCGGGACCGGCUGCUGAUCUGAUUGCCUGGUGAGUUUUCUCGCUUCGACUUUAGGCUUGCUCGGGUUCCCUCAUGGCGGGGGGGAGUGCUAGGGAUUGCGCUCUGUGUGGAGGAUUUGCAGCAGUUUUCUGCCCCGCUGAUAAUGCUCUGUUCUGUGUGAUGUGUGAUAAGAAAAUUCAUGAGGCAAAUGUUGUGGCUAGCCGGCAUGAUCGCCAAUUUGUUUCUCCAUUUCGCCCUAAUCAGAUAGAACAGAGUGUUACUAAAGGGAGUGAAUGGGGAAAUUUAGUGAUCAAGGGUGAUCAGGCUUGCUCUAUUGAGAAUAGCUUAUCCUGUGGAAGUCAUCUGGAGUUGAUAACGAAUGCAGGGGAUAGGUUGGGUACAGACUGGCCUUCUCUCUGCAGGAAGGAUCAGCAGGAGGAAAGUCUCUCUGUCAGCUCCUCAAUUAACUCUGUACCCAAGGAGGGUCGCAAACAGUUUAACAGGAAUAAACCUGCUUCAACCUGGGAAGGAAUUAGUUCUCAGAGGCAACGAGAGAAAUGGGAGAAUGAGAUUAGGAAGGAACUUUUCAUAUCUGAAGCCCAACGUUUUGAGAAAGAGUUGGAGGAAUUGGAGGGAGCUAGCCAGAGAUUAGAGAAGACAAUGGAAAAAGUUAUGAAUAUUCAAAAACCUGAUGACAGGGAAAGGGUUCCUAUUGAGGCCCAAGGUUUGGAAAGGACCAGGGAAGGUUGCCCAACUACUCUUGGGCUGUCACACAAUAGUAUACAUGCCCACUCCUGGAAACCUAUUGGGCCAAGAUGGAUAUGGAUAUCCAAAAGCAGCAGGGCACUAGGGUUUGGCUAUCCUGCGACUAAAAAAGAGAUUUUGUGUUUUGGUCACUUUGCCCGUCGCGUCAAACGUCUGAGUCCCCCAGCUCCACUUUCCCAAUCCUUUGCCGAAAUUGUCAAGGGUGAGAUGGCAUGGAGAGACCAGGAUCAGCGUUCGUGGAAGCGUCGGUCAGAAGAUUGGAUGGACCAAGAUGACUUGCUGGGAGAAGAGUUUCUUCGUGAGCAAGAUCUAAGGACAAAGCUCUUGCGUGGAUCCAGUGGGGAAGGCUCUCAUCGCCAGAAUCAAGGAGGUAAUACAUACUCUAGAAGCACUUAUGGGGGUGGGGAUCGUGGAGGGGAUGGUCGUGGUCGUGAUCACAAACCGCCGGAUGCGAAUCAGCAGGGGGGACGAGGUUUUGCUCAUGGGCAGGCUGUGGGAAGAGAGCUGAAUAGAGUACCUCGUGCACUUGGGGAGGAUCUGGGAAAAGGCUCCCAAAAUAUCAGAGGGGGACAGGGAAAUCAAGGGUAUUGGAGGCCUAAGGGCCCUUCCAAAGAGAAGAUACCCCAUCUGGAAGGCAAGGCUUUGGAGAUUAAGUGCUUUAGAUGCUUGGGUACAGGUCACCAUCAAUCGGAGUGCACUAAUGAGCCAGUGUGCUACAAGUGCAAGCAGAAAGGUCAUAUGGCAGUAGAUUGUGUGAUGACAAAAGGUAAAAUUCAGAUGUUUGGAUUUGGGAUUCCAAGUAAAGGUUUCUAUGCUAUUGAGAUUCCUGAACCAAGGGUACACCAGAUUCAGACUGCUGGAAUUGUGAUAGUUCUGGAAGGAGAUGCAGAUGAGGAUAAGCUGAAUGAAGAACUGAGGUUAGUGGUGAAUGACAAAUGGGAUUUUAAGCCCAGGAUGAUGACUAGGAAUGAAUUCUUGGUGGUGUUUCCAGACAAAGGUACUUUAGAAACUUUCUCAAGAUUUGCUGGUUUUGAUCUCUCGAUUUACAAUCUGAAAGUUAAGAUUGUAAAGUCAAAUGUCGACCCCAACACAUCAUCUGUGUUACAAACAUGCUGGGUAAGGAUCUCAAACAUUCCCCCAAUUGCUAGGGAGGAAUCGAUUGUGAGAGAGUUGGCUUCUCUGGUUGGGCAGCCUGUGGUAGUUGAUGAGUUAAGCCUGAUUAGAGAGGAACCUGUGAGAGUGAAGGUGAAUUGUAGAGAUCCGCUGGCUAUUAGAUGUGUGAUUGAGAUUUUCUUCAAUAAAAUGGGCCAUGAAGUAAAAUUUGUUUCAGAAGGAAGUCUUGGGAUGAAUUCAGAUGCUAGAGGAAACCUGCCUGGGUCAGGGAGCAAAGAUGAUAAGUCUGGGAAAAAAGAUCAGGGAGAUGCAGGCAAUUCCAAGAACAAAAAGAAAAGCGAUAAGUUUGACAGAUUUGGAAAUGUUGACAAAGAACAAGAUUCAAGCUAUGGGGGAAGCCAAGAUGCUAUGGAACAAGAUGACUUAGAACAAAUGCAGAAUCUUCCAAUUUCAGCAUAUCAUCCAAAUUGUGGGGUGGUGAAGGUGACCACUCUUAUCAAGGAUGAUUUGGGGGACCAACAUGCUUGGGCUCCAGCUGAUGUCAUGACUAAGCAGAGUGCUAUCUCUGAACAGCUGGAAGGUCUUACUAAGGAUGCAUAUGUGAUGCAAAAUCAGGAGGAGAAACUAAAGAGUAUUGGGGCAAGUGAGGAACAAGUGAUACAGAAGAAGGAUAUGUGUGAUUUUCAAUUCUCUGUCCAGGGAGGUAUGGAUACAUAUUUGAUGGAUAAAAGGAAACAAUCUGAGUUGAUCUCUACUGAAUAUGUGGUUGAUGGGGAUGGAGAGUCUUUGGAUAACAUUUCACAACCCAAUCAUGCAAAUGAAAGCCCACAAAGUUAUGCAUUGGGGGAAAACGUUGGUGAUUCCAACCAAGGAAGUAAACUGAUAUCAGGGUUAUUAGAUGAUGAUGAAGCAGAAGAAUUGGGGAUUAUCACUCAGGAAUCAGAGGUAGAAUUUGGGGACAUGGAGUCCUGUCAUGAUGAUGAUAUGGCUGAAAUACUGGAGCAAACCUGGAUUAGCUCUUCGAAGAAGAAAGCUAAGAAGAAGACAGGAGGCAAGGUGGUGAUUGCAACAAGAGUGAGCAACAGGAUUCAGCAAGAUGGAAGAUCCAUGCUGGAGAAAGCUAUGCAACGGGCACAGAGCAGGGAUGAUGUAUCAAAAGGUAUUUCUGAAUCUAAUCAAUUUUUGGUAUUAAACAAUUUAAGCAAUGAUUACAUCCAAGAUGUAGCUUCGGCUCUUGAUCUUGAUAUUGUUAAUGUUGAUACCCAAAUUGAGGUUUUUAAGGCCGAGGAAAAGGUUAGAGCAGCGUUAGCAGAGGCCAAUUACAAGGAGUACUUGGAAUCUGUUAAUAAGAGAACUGCCCCUCAAGGAGAGGAGGCCAUUCAAGAAUAUAGUUUGAAUGUUAUAGACAAUACAGCAAGAGGGUUUGCAGUAGAGUCUAACAAUGAAACAGUUGUAGUAGCCCCUAGGAAGAGGGGAAGACCUAAAAAGUUAUCUAAAUGAGGUUUCUUUUCUGGAAUAUCAGGGGGAUAGGAAAGAGUAGUAGGAAAAGACAGGUUCGAGAGUUUAUUGAAGAACAUAACCUGCAAGUGGUAGGGAUACAGGAGACAAUCAAAGAGUCUUUUUCAGAUGGAGAUCUUCUGGAGUUAGCUGGGAACAAGGUGUUCUCUUGGAAAUGGUCUGCUGCUAAAGGAAAAUCUGGAGGUAUUUUGAUGGGGGUCAAUCAGGAGAAGUUAGAAAUGGAAGCUUGUGAUAUUCUGGAGUAUUGUGUGGUGAUGACUAUUAGAAAUAGAUUUUCUAAUUUUAGAUGGGUUAUGGUAACUGUAUAUGGUCCAGUACAGCAUGAAUAUUCAGGAGACUUUCUUGCGGAAUUAGAUUCAGUUUGCCAGCAAACAGUGUUACCCAUUAUCAUUGGGGGGGACUUUAAUUUGAUAAGAGAAGAAUCUGACAAGAACUCUGAUAAUGUCAAUUUUCAUUUAAUGGAUCAGUUUAAUACUUUCAUAGGGGAUCAUCAGUUAAGGGAACUCAAAAGAUCUGGGCAGAGGUAUACCUGGACUAACAAGCAGAGUAAACCAAUCAUGGUUAAUCUGGACAGAGUGCUUUUCUCUUCUGGUUGGGAGGAGAAGUAUCCUUUAUCUCUCUCUUGGUGUUUAACCAGAGUAGGGUCAGAUCAUUCUCCAGUCAUUGUGGAUGAUGGGGAGAGUUUGACUACUAGGCCUAGAUAUUUCUUUUUUGAUCAGCAAUGGGUGCUAGUGGAAGGUUUUAGAGAGUUAUCUACCUGUAUUUGGAGAGAAUCUGAGGCAAGGUGCCCAGAAACUUGUUAUUCCCUAGAUUCAUGGCAUGGCUGCAUGGUGUGGCUAAGAACCAAAUUAAAAGGUUGGAAUAUUAGGAGAAUAGGUGAACAGAAAAAGAAGAGAAAUGAGCUUAUGGUUGAACUAUCUAUUAUAGAUUCUCAGGCUGAAGUAAGGGAACUCAGCCAGGAGGAAUGGUUGCAUAGAUACAAUAUAGAAAAACAGAUGGAGAUUUUAUAUGCGGAAGAGGAAUUAUAUUGGAGGCAAAGAAUGGGUAAACAUUGGUUGCAGGCUGGUGACUCAAAUACUAAAUUUUUCCAUCAAUUUGUAAAUGGGAGAAGAAGAAAAAGUACUAUUAUACAACUGGAAACUGAUCAUGGGGUGAUCAAAACUCAAGAGGAGAUUAUGGACCAUGCUGUUCAGUUCUACAAAAAAUUGUUUGGACCUGUGGAUCAAAGACAUAUCUUCUUAUCUGGUAAUUUCUGGUCUGACGGCAAGAAAGUUAAGGAGGAUGAUAAAGAGAGAUUACUAAAAGAUUUUUCAGAAGAAGAAGUUAAACAUGCCUUUUUUGAUAUGAAAAAGGAUGCUGCUCCUGGCCCAAAUGGAUUUGGUGCCUUCUUUUUUCAAACCUUUUGGGAGGUCAUUAAAGAAAGAUAUCUUAAAAUGUUCUUGGACUUCCAUAAGGGUGAGCUAGACAUAAAGAGAUUGAAUUUUGGAGUUAUAACCUUAGUUCCUAAAGUUCAGGAUGCUAGCUGCAUUAAGCAGUAUAGGCCUAUUUGCCUUCUCAAUGUGGACUACAAAGGCUUUACUAAAGUUCUUACAGAGAGGGUGACUCCUGUGGUGAAAGAUGUAAUUGGUAGCAAUCAGACUGGUUUUAUUAAAGGAAGAUGCAUCUUGGAAGGAGUUGCCAUCCUCCAUGAGGUCAUACACUCGUUGAGGAAUGGCAUGAGGAAAGGAAUGAUCCUUAAGAUUGAUUUUGAGAAAGCUUAUGACAGGGUGAGAUGGGAUUUUUUAGAGGAAGUUUUACAUGGAAAAGGCUUCCCUGUGAAAUGGGUCAAUUGGGUCAUGCAAACUGUCAAAGGAGGACAAGUUUGUAUUAAUAUUAAUGGGACAAGGGGUCCCUACUUUAGAACUUUGAGGGGUCUGAGGCAGGGGAUCCUUUAUCUCCUCUUUUAUUCAAUCUAGUAGCUGAUGCUCUGAGCUCAAUGUUAGACAAAGCUGUUGAGAAAAAUCUUAUUGUGGGAGUGCUUGACUCUUUAAUUGAUAAGGGUAUUUCUCAUAUCCAAUAUGCAGAUGACACUAUUAUUAUGACAGAUGGAUCUGAUCAGUCAAUUACAAACCUCAAAAUCCUGCUAUAUUGCUUUGAAUGGCUAUCGGGUUUGAAAAUUAAUUAUCACAAGAGUGAGGUUCUGUUGUUUGGUUAUUCUCAGAUAGAAAAAGAAAGAAAGGCUAACAUGCUAAAUUGUAAACUGGGGGAGUUACCAAUUAAGUAUUUAGGCAUUCCAGUGUCUGACAAGGAGUUAGGCAUAAAUGCUUUCCAAGGGCUUUCUGCUCGCAUGAGUAAAAGACUAGAUCCUUGGAAAGGGAAGUUUAUGACUUCUGGUGGAAAGUUGAUCCUUACAAAUUCUUGUCUGAGUAAUCUGCCAAUGUAUAUGAUGGGGUUUUAUAUGUUGCCCAAGGGGGUACAUAAGAAAAUGGAUGCUAUCAGAGCAAAGUUCUUCUGGCAAGGGGCAGGGGAACAGUCUAAGUAUCAUAUGGCUAAAUGGAUAGCAAUGGCUAGACCGAAAACCCAGGGGGGCCUAGGGAUUAUCAAUACUCUUUUGAUGAAUGAAUGCUUGAUCACAAAAUGGAUCUGGAAGAUUGAUAAGAGGCCCAAUGAACUGUGGUAUAAAAUCUUAGAUGCUAAAUAUAUGAAAGGAAAAGGUUUCCUUGGCUCAUCUUGUCAGGGUGCCUCUCAAUUUUGGAAGGGCCUCCAUAAGGUGAAACACUUGUAUAAUUGGGGUGCUGAAUAUAAGGUGCAUAAGGGGAGUGCUGUUCGUUUCUGGCAUGAUAACUGGUUGGGAGGUCUUCCCUUGAGGAUACAAUAUAGACAUAUUUUUGAAAUCUGUCAAAAUCCAGAAGCUACAGUGAAAAGUAUGUGGAAAGAGAGUGGUUGGGAUAUUCCUCUUAGAAGAAGUCUGCAUGGGGCUGUUCUGGAUGAGUGGAAUGAUUUUCAAGAGGUGCUGCAGGAGGUGAGUUUAGAUGGAUUAGGAGAGGAUGAUGUCAGUUGGGUUCUUGAAAAAUCAAGGAAAUUUACAACUAGAUCGCUUUAUACUUGUCUCACCCAUGGGGGAGUCAGAGAUAAAGUAAACGAGCUAAUUUGGGGGUGUAGAAUGCCUUUAAAAGUUAAAGUUUUCCUUUGGCAAGUUUUCCAUAGGAAAUUACAAACUGCUUCUUCUCUUACAAAACGGGGAUGGCAGGGAAGCCCUCUCUGUUGUAUUUGUCCUGUAUCUGAGACGGUCAAUCAUCUUUUGUUUGGAUGCGUCUUUGCGCAAUACGUUUGGAUUUGCAUAAGGGAUGCUUUUAAUCUUCACACUUUUCCAACGUCGAUUCAUGAUGUAACAUCUCAAUGGGUGCCAAGGAGGCUCGGUAUCUCUAAGAAACUAUGCUUCACACUUUUUGCAGGAGUGACUUGGGCAAUUUGGAAGAAUAGAAACAAGAUGGCCAUCGAGAAACGCUUUCCUAACUCACCUGAUGUUGUGAUUCACUCGGCUAUCAAUCUUCUGCAGACUUGGACGGAUCUACAAAGGGAGAGCGACAGAGCCAAGAUGAAGGAGAUGGUGCAGUCCUUAUCUGACUGGAUGGUGAAGAAAGAUCAUUCUAUCAACUCCCUGUCGGAUGUGAUGGUCAUUUAGCUCUUUGUAUCUUUCUGGGUGGUUGGCUCUGUAGGCUGGUCACUUAGUUAGAUUGUUUUGUUGCUGGUCUGAACUUGUGUGGGUUUUUGCUUCCUUUGAAACUGGUAUCCCCAGUAUGUAAUGACUCUGUUAUUGGCUUUCUUAAAAGCCGAGGUAAUCUCCUUUAAAAAAAAAAGGCCUAGGCCAGGCAGAUACUUAUCAAAACAUACACAACUUGGAAUUUAUUUUUAGGUGUCUUGGUUAGCAGUGGGCAUUGAACUUGCAACUUGUUGUUAGGAGUCUUUGUAAGCAGUGGCGUUAAAUUUAUUUCCUUUCCACGCACUAGUUCUCUGAUGUCUGAUUAACUCACUGAUUUUUUCCCCCUGUGCUCCAUGUUUCCCCUCAUUUGCUUCCUUACUGAUGCUCUGUAAGUAGGUUAAAACAGACUACUGUCAGUGACAUGGACCGAGUUGGAUGCAAGAAACUGCAGCCAGUAGAUGACGAAAAAGGAACAAUUUGUAUGUAUGUUUUUCUAAUAGCAUAGUACACUGACA